rnacentral:lncRNA from 1 species
UCCCAUGCUAUGAAGACCUUUGCUCUGGUCUUCCUGGUGGCCCUGCUGUGCACAGAGACCCCAGGGUCUGUUCUGUUGCCCAUGCUUGGUGGCCUCACACAUAAGCUCUUGCCUGCCAGCUAUGUGCUCCUUCCUCAGUGGGGUCUGGGUCUCCCCGGAAGUGACCAGGAUUGUUGAGUCUAAGAAAGUGACAGUGGAGAACAAGUUCUGCCUUCCCUCCUGCCCCCAUAUGCAAAUUUUGGGCACCAAGAUGAACUUCAAGCUUUCUUAUUGCAAGGAGGACCUCUGUAACACAGUGGGCCAAGUGGCAGGAGGUGCCUGGG